rnacentral:rRNA from 1 species
UACGGAGGGUGCGAGCGUUUGUUCGGAUUCAUUGGGCGUAAAGGGUGCGUAGGCGGCGCGGUAAGUCGGGUGUGAAAUCUCGGAGCUUAACUCCGAAACUGCAUUCGAUACUGCCGUGCUUGAGGACUGGAGAGGAGACUGGAAUUUACGGUGUAGCGGUGAAAUGCGUAGAUAUCGUAAGGAAGACCAGUGGCGAAGGCGGGUCUCUGGACAGUUCCUGACGCUGAGGCACGAAGGUCAGGGGAGCAAACGGGG